AGCUGCGUGAUGAGCACAAAGCGAACUAUUCUUUCGCCUUUUACUGUGCUCAUCACAAUUAGCAGCAUACCCUAAUUUUUGAAGGGUGUUCUCCUAAAUAGGAGGGC
rnacentral:snRNA from 1 species